GUGCCAGCCGCCGCGGUAGCACCGGCAGCCCAAGUGAUGGCCGAUAUUAUUGGGCCUAAAGCGUCCGUAGCUGGCCGCGCAAGUUCGUCGGGAAAUCCACUCGCUUAACGAGUGGGCGUCCGGCGAAAACUGUGCGGCUUGGGACCGGAAGAUCCAAGGGGUACGUCCGGGGUAGGAGUGAAAUCCCGUAAUCCUGGACGGACCACCGAUGGCGAAAGCACCUUGGAAGGACGGAUCCGACAGUGAGGGACGAAAGCUAGGGUCUCGAACCGGAUUAGAUACCCCUGUGUCC
rnacentral:rRNA from 1 species